CCUACGGGAGGCAGCAGUGGGGAAUAUUGGACAAUGGGCGAAAGCCUGAUCCAGCAAUGCCGCGUGAGUGAUGAAGGCCUUAGGGUUGUAAAGCUCUUUUACCAGGGAUGAUAAUGACAGUACCUGGAGAAUAAGCUCCGGCUAACUCCGUGCCAGCAGCCGCGGUAAUACGGAGGGAGCUAGCGUUGUUCGGAAUUACUGGGCGUAAAGCGUACGUAGGCGGUUAUUCAAGUCAGAGGUGAAAGCCUGGAGCUCAACUCCAGAACUGCCUUUGAAACUAGAUAGCUAGAAUCUUGGAGAGGUGAGUGGAAUUCCGAGUGUAGAGGUGAAAUUCGUAGAUAUUCGGAAGAACACCAGUGGCGAAGGCGACUCACUGGACAAGUAUUGACGCUGAGGUACGAAAGCGUGGGGAGCAAAACAGGUAUUAGACUACCCUGGUAGUCCACGACCGUAAACGAUGAUAACUAGCUGUUCGGGCUACUACGAGCUUGAGUGGCGCGAGACUACGACUAUUAAGUUACGUCCGUCCGUCGGGUAGGUACGGUCGACGAAGAAUUAAACUAACGAAAGAAGUAGUACGCGAGAGACGUCGACCGACGACGACGACGAGGGAGGAG
rnacentral:rRNA from 1 species